rnacentral:misc_RNA from 1 species
UUAAGUUCAGCGGGUAUCCCUACCUGAUCCGAGGUCAACCUUUGAUAAAAUUGGGGUUGUUGGCAGGUACUCAACCGGUCCUCCAAAGCGAGAAGAAUUACUACGCUUGAAGCCGAAUGGCACCGCCACUGAUUUUAUAGCCCGCCCUUACGGGUGAAGCCUAAUACCAAGCUGAGCUUGAGGGUUGUAAUGACGCUCGA